GACGAACGCUGGCGGCGUGCUUAACACAUGCAAGUCGAACGGAAAGGCCCUGCUUUUGUGGUAUGCUCGAGUGGCGAACGGGCGCGUAACACGAGAGUAAAUUGCCCCUGACUUUGGGAUACCUCCAGGAAACUGGGGCUAAGAUCGGUAAGAAGCUCCUGCUGCAUGGCGGGGGUUGGAAAGUUUCGGCGGAUGGGGAUGGACUAGCGGCUUACCAGCUUGUUGGUGGGGUCGUGGGUUACCAGGGCUUUGACGAGUAGCCGGCCUGAGUGUGUGACCGGCCAAAGUGGCACUGAGCUACGGCCGAGAGCCCUACGGAAGACAGGAGAGGGGGAUAAUGCACAAUGGGCCGAAGCCUCGUGAAGCAACGCCGCGUGCGGGAUGACGGCCUUCGGGUAGUAAACCGCUUUCGCCUGUAACGAAGCGUGAGUGACGGUAAUGGGUAAAGAAGCACCGGCUAACUCCGUG
rnacentral:rRNA from 1 species